rnacentral:rRNA from 1 species
CGCAUCUGUGCAUGCAGCAUAUCAAUAAGCGGAGGAAAAGAAACUAACAAGGAUUCCCCUAGUAACGGCGAGUGAAGCGGGAAGAGCAUCAAAUUUGAAAUCUUAAAGGGUUUCCCUUUACGAAUUGUAGUUUAAAGAAGUGUUUUCUGUUGAGGUUUUGGUAAAGGUUCUUUGGAAGUAGGACAUCAUAGAGGGUGAGAAUCCCGUAUUUGACCUUUACUUUCAACUUUGUGAUACACUUUCAAAGAGUCGGAUUGUUUGGGAAUGCAGUCCAAAAUGGGUGGUAAAUUUCAUCUAAAGCUAAAUAUUGGCGAGAGACCGAUAGCGAACAAGUACCGUGAGGGAAAGAUGAAAAGAACUUUGAAAAGAGAGUUAAACAGUACGUGAAAUUGUCAAAAGGGAAGCGUUUGACACCAGUGUUGUUUUUCUGAAAAUCAAUUAAAGAACUGUUUAUGCUAAGUUGUUUAGACUUUAUCAGCUAACUGUUUAGUUUUGAGCUUUUCUUUAAUGCACUUUUCAGUUAACAAGUCAACAUCAAUUUCUUUUGCUGUAAAAAAGCUUGAGGAGGGUGGCUUGAGAUUCGUCUUAAGUGUUUAUAGCCUCUUGCCUACUGCAGUCAGGAGAGAUUGAGGUCUGCAGCGUAGAUCCUUCGGGGCUAAAUGCAUUUGUGCUAAGUUAUAGCAUUUUAUAGACAACUUGUUGACUAUGAUUUGUCUUGUAGCUUACUCGCUUAUGUUAUUUUACCUACGCUUAGGAUGUUGAAGAUGUAGCACAUCAU